rnacentral:rRNA from 1 species
AUCGUACGGGAGGCAGCAGUAGGGAAUAUUGCGCAAUGGGGGAAACCCUGACGCAGCAACGCCGCGUGGAGGAUGACACUUUUCGGAGCGUAAACUCCUUUUGUUAGGGAAGAAUAAGGAGUACGUGUACUUUGAUGACGGUACCUUACGAAUAAGCAUCGGCUAACUCCGUGCCAGCAGCCGCGGUAAUCGAU